AUUGAACGCUGGCGGCAGGCCUAACACAUGCAAGUCGAGCGAGCGGCGGACGGGUGAGUAAUGUCUGGGAAACUGCCUGAUGGAGGGGGAUAACUACUGGAAACGGUAGCUACUACCGCAUACCAUCAGAUGUGCCCAGAUGGGAUUAGCUGGUGGGUGGGUGAACGGCUCACCUAGGCGACGAUACCUAGCUGGUCUGAGAGGAUGACCAGCCAAACGGGAACGGGGACACGGCCCAGAUUCCUAGGGGAGGCAGCAGUGGGGAAUAUUGCACAAUGGGCGCAAUCCUGAUGCAGCCAGGCCGCUUGUGUGAAGAAGGCCUUCGGGUUGGAAAGCACUUUCAGCGGGGAGGCGGUACCCGCAGAAGAAGCACCGGCUAACUCCGUGCCAGCAGCCGCGGUAAUUC
rnacentral:rRNA from 1 species